rnacentral:rRNA from 1 species
UACGGAGGGUGCAAGCGUUAUCCGGAUUCAUCUGGGUUUAAAGGGUGGUCGGUAGGUGGGAAUGUGAAGGUCAGUGGUGAAAGCCUCCAGCUCAACUGGAGAACUGCCAUUGAUACUGGCGGGCUUGAGUACAGACGAGGUAGGCGGAAUUGAUUGUGUAGCGGUGAAAUGCAUAGAUACAAUCAAGAACACCGAUUGCGUAGGCAGCUUACUAGGCUGUAACUGACGCUGAGGCACGAAAGCGUGGGGAGCGAACAGG